rnacentral:rRNA from 1 species
GACGAAGGUGGCGAGCGUUGUUCGGAAUCACUGGGCAUAAAGCGCACGUAGGUGGUGUCGUAAGUCGGGUGUGAAAUCCCUCGGCCUAACCGAGGAACUGCGCCCGAUACUGCGAUGCUUGAGGAUCAGAGGGGUGCAUGGAAUUUCCGGUGGAGCGGUGAAAUGCGCAGAUAUCAGGAGGAACACCGGUGGCGAAGGCGGCUUGCUGGGCCAGUUCUGACGCUGGAGGAGCGAAAGCGUGGGGAGCGAACAGG